AAUAUUAAUAACAUUAAGUGUGAUAACUAGCUGAACUAGUAAUGUGCUAAUACAGGGAACACAAUAGAAUCUGUCCAAUUGCAUCAUGCUAUAAGGAAGAGAUUUCUGGAGACUGCUCUAGAAAAAGGUAGCAUGAGAAGGGGAGCUGGGAAAACUAUUAUUAAGUAAGUAAUCAACUGGCAGCAACUCAAUUAUAUUCACAUUUGUAUUUUUGUCAUCUGAAGAAGCAAACUAUUAAGACCACCUACAUCUCAGAUGCACACUUAAGAUUAAAGCAUACUAUGUCUAUUAGGUCAUUUUCACACAUGGCUGAUUCCAGGUCAGCAAUUUAUUUUUGGAUAUAGAAAACUAGCCUUGCUCACUCUCAAUAAGUUCUUUAGAAAACAUUUAUUCUUCAAUAAAAAGGUGGGGGGGG